rnacentral:rRNA from 1 species
AACGAACGCUGGCGGCAGGCUUAACACAUGCAAGUCGAGCGCCCCGCAAGGGGAGCGGCAGACGGGUGAGUAACGCGUGGGAACGUACCUUUUGGUUCGGAACAACUCCGGGAAACUGGAGCUAAUACCGGAUAAGCCCUAACGGGGAAAGAUUUAUCGCCGAAAGAUCGGCCCGCGUCUGAUUAGCUAGUUGGUGAGGUAACGGCUCACCAAGGCGACGAUCAGUAGCUGGUCUGAGAGGAUGAUCAGCCACACUGGGACUGAGACACGGCCCAGACUCCCACGGGAGGCAGCAGUGGGGAAUAUUGGAAAGUGGGCGCAAGCCUGAUCCAGCCAUGCCGGGUGAGGGAUGAAGGCCUUAGGGUUGUAAAGCUCUUUUGUCCGGGAAGAUAAUGACUGUACCGGAAGAAUAAGCCCCGGCUAACUUCGU